GACGAACGCUGGCGGCGUGCUUAACACAUGCAAGUCGAACGGGCCUGUCUUCUUUUUUGGGGGGUGGGUUGAGUGGCGAACGGGUGAGUAUCACGUGAGUAACCUGCCCUUCGGUCCUGGAUAACCGCUUGAAAGGGCGGCUAAUACGGGGUGGUCCGGUUGGUCCGCAUGGGCUGGUCGGGAUAGAUUCACUGUUUUUGGUGUUUCGGCGGGGGAUGGGCUCGCGGCCUAUCGGCUUGUUGGUGGGGUGAUGGCCUACCAAGGCGGUGACGGGUAGCCGGCCUGAGAGGGGGCGCGGCCACACUGGGACUGAGAUCCGGCCCAGAAUCCUGCGGGAGGCAGCGGUGGGGGGUAUUGCACAAUGGGCGGAAGCCUGAUGCAGCGACGUCGCGUGAGGGAGGGAGGCCUUCGGGUUGUGAACCUCUGUUUCCGGUGGUGAAGGCCCUGUCAGUGUGGUGGGGUUGACGGUAGCCGGGGAUGAAGCGCCGGCUAACUACGUG
rnacentral:rRNA from 1 species